rnacentral:rRNA from 1 species
UACGUAGGGCGCGAGCGUUGUCCGGAUUUAUUGGGUUUAAAGGGUGCGUAGGCGGCUCCAUAAGUUUUGGGUGAAAGGCGGCAGCUUAACUGUCGGAAUGCCUGAGAUACUGUGGAGCUUGAGGGUGGUUGAGGUAAGCGGUAUUGGUGGUGUAGCGGUGAAAUGCUUUGAUAUCAUCAGGAACGUCAAUUGCGAAGGCAGCUUACUAAGCCAUCACUGACGCUGAGGCACGAAAGCGUGGGUAUCAAACAGG